rnacentral:rRNA from 1 species
UACGGAGGGGGCGAGCGUUGUUCGGAAUUACUGGGCGUAAAGCGCGCGUAGGCGGUUUUGUAAGUCGAAUGUGAAAGCCCUCGGCUCAACCGAGGAACUGCGUUCGAUACUGCAAGGCUUGAGUCCGGUAGGGGAUGGCAGAAUUCCCGGUGUAGCGGUGGAAUGCGUAGAUAUCGGGAGGAAUACCGAUGGCGAAGGCGGCCAUCUGGGCCGGAACUGACGCUGAGGCGCGAAAGCUAGGGGAGCAAACAGG